GUCUGUGAUGUUUACUGACUGUGAAACUAUGAAUAAGUCACUUAAUUUCUCUAGGACAAGAGAGUAUGUUAUUAGAGGAAGAUCCCAAAGCUUCUGCCACCUGAGAGGAAGCGAAGACUGAAAGAAGAGCACUUGGAAAGGCAAAAUGAGGCCUUUGCUCUGAACAACCAUCAACAGACAGCUGGAUAUGGGAGUUCUCUCACUAGGGAGAAGAUCAGAAGCUUGAGUGAAGAUGUCAGUAAAGGCUUUUGAUGUAAAUCCAGCCAGAGGUCCCAGGCUAUGGCUAUGCGCUUCAGGAGCUCUACUCCAGAAAGGACAUCAGAGCACCAGAGAAUUUCAGAGAUGGAAGGGAACUUGGAAAGCUAAUUCCAUUUGUUCAGAGGGAUAAACUGAGACUCGGAUAAGUGAAGGCAUUUUCCCAAUGUUACAUAGCAAUGAGAUUGGAAUAAUCCAAAUCCAACAUUCACCAUACCCAGGUGAUUUUUCAAGAGGAAGAUCAUGCUUUAAAGUCGAUUGCCUUCCUGAUUAGUGGUCUGAUUUGCAACUCUAAAAAGAAACAGAGUAGGCAAUUAGUAGAUUCUUUUAUUCCCCUUUUCCUUCUUAUCCUCCUAAUCUGUUGAACACACCUUUGAAAAGCUUGUUGGAUGAGAACAUAAUAAAGGUCUUCAUCACAUAAUUGG